CCAAAACGUUUUUUUUAAACU
rnacentral:snRNA from 1 species